rnacentral:rRNA from 1 species
AUUGAGCGCUGGCGGAAUGCUUUACACAUGCAAGUCGAACGGCAGCACGGGUGCUUGCACCUGGUGGCGAGUGGCGAACGGGUGAGUAACAUAUCGGAACGUGCCCAGUAAUGGGGGAUAACUAACCGAAAGGUUAGCUAAUACCGCAUACGCCCUGAGGGGGAAAGCGGGGGAUCGAAAGACUCCGCGGUAUUGGAGCGGCCGAUAUCUGAUUAGCUAGUUGGUAGGGUAAAGGCCUACCAAGGCGACGAUCAGUAGCUGGUCUGAGAGGAUGAUCAGCCACACUGGGACUGAGACACGGCCCAGACUCCUACGGGAGGCAGCGGUGGGGAAUUUUGGACAAUGGGCGAAAGCCUGAUCUAGCCAUUCCGCGUGAGUGAAGAAGGCCUACGGGUUGUAAAGCUCUUUCGGCAGGAACGAAACGCUCUAGAUUAAUACUCUGGGGUAAUGACGGUACCUGAAGAAGAAGCACCGGCUAACUACGUGCCAGCAGCCGCCGUAA